rnacentral:rRNA from 2 species
AGAGUUUGAUCCUGGCUCAGGAUGAACGCUGGCGGCGUGCCUAAUACAUGCAAGUCGAGCGAACGGACGAGAAGCUUGCUUCUCUGAUGUUAGCGGCGGACGGGUGAGUAACACGUGGAUAACCUACCUAUAAGACUGGGAUAACUUCGGGAAACCGGAGCUAAUACCGGAUAAUAUUUUGAACCGCAUGGUUCAAAAGUGAAAGACGGUCUUGCUGUCACUUAUAGAUGGAUCCGCGCUGCAUUAGCUAGUUGGUAAGGUAACGGCUUACCAAGGCAACGAUGCAUAGCCGACCUGAGAGGGUGAUCGGCCACACUGGAACUGAGACACGGUCCAGACUCCUACGGGAGGCAGCAGUAGGGAAUCUUCCGCAAUGGGCGAAAGCCUGACGGAGCAACGCCGCGUGAGUGAUGAAGGUCUUCGGAUCGUAAAACUCUGUUAUUAGGGAAGAACAUAUGUGUAAGUAACUGUGCACAUCUUGACGGUACCUAAUCAGAAAGCCACGGCUAACUACGUGCCAGCAGCCGCGGUAAUACGUAGGUGGCAAGCGUUAUCCGGAAUUAUUGGGCGUAAAGCGCGCGUAGGCGGUUUUUUAAGUCUGAUGUGAAAGCCCACGGCUCAACCGUGGAGGGUCAUUGGAAACUGGAAAACUUGAGUGCAGAAGAGGAAAGUGGAAUUCCAUGUGUAGCGGUGAAAUGCGCAGAGAUAUGGAGGAACACCAGUGGCGAAGGCGACUUUCUGGUCUGUAACUGACGCUGAUGUGCGAAAGCGUGGGGAUCAAACAGGAUUAGAUACCCUGGUAGUCCACGCCGUAAACGAUGAGUGCUAAGUGUUAGGGGGUUUCCGCCCCUUAGUGCUGCAGCUAACGCAUUAAGCACUCCGCCUGGGGAGUACGACCGCAAGGUUGAAACUCAAAGGAAUUGACGGGGACCCGCACAAGCGGUGGAGCAUGUGGUUUAAUUCGAAGCAACGCGAAGAACCUUACCAAAUCUUGACAUCCUUUGACAACUCUAGAGAUAGAGCCUUCCCCUUCGGGGGACAAAGUGACAGGUGGUGCAUGGUUGUCGUCAGCUCGUGUCGUGAGAUGUUGGGUUAAGUCCCGCAACGAGCGCAACCCUUAAGCUUAGUUGCCAUCAUUAAGUUGGGCACUCUAAGUUGACUGCCGGUGACAAACCGGAGGAAGGUGGGGAUGACGUCAAAUCAUCAUGCCCCUUAUGAUUUGGGCUACACACGUGCUACAAUGGACAAUACAAAGGGCAGCGAAACCGCGAGGUCAAGCAAAUCCCAUAAAGUUGUUCUCAGUUCGGAUUGUAGUCUGCAACUCGACUACAUGAAGCUGGAAUCGCUAGUAAUCGUAGAUCAGCAUGCUACGGUGAAUACGUUCCCGGGUCUUGUACACACCGCCCGUCACACCACGAGAGUUUGUAACACCCGAAGCCGGUGGAGUAACCUUUUAGGAGCUAGCCGUCGAAGGUGGGACAAAUGAUUGGGGUGAAGUCGUAACAAGGUAGCCGUAUCGGAAGGUGUGGCUGGAUCACCU